rnacentral:tRNA from 1 species
GAGGUUGUAGCUCUGUGGUAGAGCACUUACCUAACAUGUGUGAGGCACUGGGUUCGAUUCUCAGCACCGCA